GGGGAAUUGGCUCAAAUGCUAGAGCGCUCGCUUAGCAUGCGAGAGGCACGGGGAUCGAUGCCCUGAUUCUCCA
rnacentral:tRNA from 1 species